GACGAACGCUGGCGGCGUGCUUAACACAUGCAAGUCGAACGGAAAGGCCUCUUUCGGGGGGUACUCGAGUGGCGAACGGGUGAGUAACACGUGAGUAACCUGCCCUUGACUUUGGGAUAACUUCAGGAAACUGGGGCUAAUACCGGAUAGGAGCUCCUGCUGCAUGGUGGGGGUUGGAAAGUUUCGGCGGUUGGGGAUGGACUCGCGGCUUAUCAGCUUGUUGGUGGGGUAGUGGCUUACCAAGGCUUUGACGGGUAGCCGGCCUGAGAGGGUGACCGGCCACAUUGGGACUGAGAUACGGCCCAGACUCCGACGUGAGGCAGCAGUGGGGAAUAUUGCACAAUGGGUGGAAGCCUGAUGCAGCAACGCCGUGUGCGGGAUGACGGCCUUCGGGUUGUAAACCGCUUUCGCUCAUGACGAAGCUUUGUGUGACGGUAGUGGGUAAAGAAGCACCGGCUAACUACGUG
rnacentral:rRNA from 1 species